CUCGUGACUGCGUGCCUUUUGAAGAAUGAGCCUGCGAGUUUGCGGUGUGUUGCGAGGUUAACCCGUGUGGGGAAGCCGUAGCGAAAGCGAGUCCGAAUAGGGCGAUUUAGUAGCGCGCUCAAGACCCGAAGCGGAGUGAUCUAGCCAUGGGCAGGUUGAAGCGGCUGUAAGAGGUCGUGGAGGACCGAACCCACCAGGGUUGAAAACCUGGGGGAUGACCUGUGGUUAGGGGUGAAAGGCCAAUCAAACUCCGUGAUAGCUGGUUCUCCCCGAAAUGCAUUUAGGUGCAGCGUCGUGUGUUUCUUGCCGGAGGUAGAGCACUGGAUAGGCGAUGGGCCCUACCGGGUUACUGACCUUAGCCAAACUCCGAAUGCCGGUAAGUGAGAGCGCGGCAGUGAGACUGUGGGGGAUAAGCUCCAUGGUCGAGAGGGAAACAGCCCAGAGCAUCGACUAAGGCCCCUAAGCGUACGCUAAGUGGGAAAGGAUGUGGAGUCGCAGAGACAACCAGGAGGUUGGCUUAGAAGCAGCCACCCUUGAAAGAGUGCGUAAUAGCUCACUGGUCAAGUGAUUCCGCGCCGACAAUGUAGCGGGGCUCAAGCGUACCGCCGAAGUCGUGUCAAUCCAGCAAUAGGGCCAACGCCCGUUGGGUUGGGUAGGGGAGCGUCGUGUGCCGGGUGAAGCCGCCGCGUAAGCGAGUGGUGGAUGGUACACGAGUGAGAAUGCAGGCAUGAGUAGCGAUACACACGUGGGAAACGUGUGCGCCGAUUGACUAAGGGUUCCUGGGUCAAGCUGAUCUGCCCAGGGUAAGUCGGGACCUAAGGCGAGGCCGACAGGCGUAGUCGAUGGACAACCGGUUGAUAUUCCGGUACCCGCUUUGAAGCGCCCAGUAUCGAAUCCUCUGAUGCUAAGGCCGUGAAGCCGCCUUUGAUCUCUUCGGAGUGAUGGGGAGUGGUGGAGCCGCUGAACCGAGGUGGUAGUAGGUAAGUGAUGGGGUGACGCAGGAAGGUAGUCCAGCCCGGGCGGUGGUUGUCCCGGGGUAAGGGUGUAGCCCGUGUGGUAGGUAAAUCCGUCACACAU
rnacentral:rRNA from 1 species